rnacentral:tRNA from 1 species
UCCUCCGUGGCGCAAUUGGCUAGCGCGUCUGACUGUUAAGAGCAUCUUUAAGAUACUUGGCUAUCAGGAGGUUGACAGUUCAAGCCUGUCCGGGGGAG